CCGAAACCAAGUGAUCUAUCCAUGGCCAGGAUGAAGGUGCGGUAACACGCACUGGAGGUCCGAACCCACUAAUGUUGAAAAAUUAGGGGAUGAGCUGUGGAUAGGGGUGAAAGGCUAAACAAACUUGGAAAUAGCUGGUUCUCUCCGAAAACUAUUUAGGUAGUGCCUCAAGUAUCACCGACGGGGUAAAGCACUGUUAUGGCUAGGGGGUCAUCGCGACUUACCAAACCAUUGCAAACUCAGAAUACCGUUGAGUGCGAGCUUGGGAGACAGACAUCGGGUGCUAACGUCCGGUAGUCAAGAGGGAAACAACCCAGACCGCCGAUAAGGUCCCAAAGCCAUAGUUAAGUCGGGAAACGAGGUGGAAGGCUUAGACAGCCAGGAGGUUGGCUUAGAAGCAGCCAUCCUUUAAAGAAAGCGUAAUAGCUCACUGGUCCGAGUCGUCCUGCGCGGAAGAUGUAACGGGG
rnacentral:rRNA from 1 species